rfam:Oryza nivara chromosome 7, whole genome shotgun sequence.
UUUAAGCGCAGUUGUGAAUUUCCAUAUCCAAUAUUUGAUCUUAUUUGAGAUUUUUUAGACUAGUAUUUUUAUUGUUAUUAGAUGAUAAAACAUGAGUAGUAUUUUAUGUGUAACUUGUUUUUUUAAAAAAUUUAAAUAAGACGGACGAUCAAAGAUUGAACACGGAAACUUGAAACUAGACUUAAG